CCGCCAGACUCCUACGGGAGGCAGCAGUGGGGGAUAUUGCACAAUGGGGGAAACCCUGAUGCAGCGACGCCGCGUGGGUGAAGAAGCGCCUCGGCGCGUAAAGCCCUGUCAGCAGGGAAGAAAAUGACGGUACCUGAAGAAGAAGCCCCGGCUAACUACGUGCCAGCAGCCGCGGUAAUACGUAGGGGGCAAGCGUUAUCCGGAUUUACUGGGUGUAAAGGGAGCGUAGACGGCGAAGAAAGUCUGAAGUGAAAGCCCGCGGCUCAACCGCGGAAUGGCUUUGGAAACUUUUUUGCUGGAGUACCGGAGAGGUAAGCGGAAUUCCUAGUGUAGCGGUGAAAUGCGUAGAUAUUAGGAGGAACACCAGUGGCGAAGGCGACUUUCUGGACUGUACCUGACGCUGAGGCGCGAAAGCGUGGGUAGCGAACGGGAUUAGAUACCCCAGUA
rnacentral:rRNA from 1 species